GGAGGGUUUAACAUCCCGCUGCCAAAUCCAAAGCAGUGCAGGAAGAGCAGGUUCCCAAACUAAGCUGAGGAAUAGGGUUUCCAUGUGAGGGGUUGAGCUCCUUGUGGAAUCCUUAGCGACUGAGGACAAAUUAAGGCACUUUCGUGUUGUGUUUGGGCAGGUUGGGCUGCACAAGCAGUGUGGUGGGCAAUGAUUUCCAUCUUCUAGAGAUCAAGACAAAUGGGUUUAAGUUAGUUUUCCGCUCCCUACAAUAGUUCUUCCCAAUUCCAGGCAGGUGGCUGUUCUAGAGCACAGGGCCCUUCAGUGGAGGUGGAGAGAGCUCCCAGAGCUGAUGAUCAUCGCGCUCCAGAGCAGCCCUGACCGGCAGAACCUUUAGAAGUCUGAAACUUGGAAAGGACUGAGAGCAGAAGAUUAUCCAUUGUGACCUGUUCCUGCAAUUUGUCUGCAAUAAAGACUGGCUUACACAGAAGGGAAAACAUCGAUUGUACCUCUUGAACUUUCUCCCAUUCCUUUCUGUUCUGGAUUCCCUCUCUUCACAUCAGUAGUUUGUGACUGGAUCACAUGAUGGUAUUUCCAGUACUUCCAGUGCUGUACUUGCUCUGUGUGGAAAGCAUUGCUGAGGUGCCCUGGGCCUUUGCAUUUCAAACACUGGAUUUGUAACAUUUUAUAUAUUUAAUCACCAUCAAGUAGAGUGUUUGGAUCCAAGAUAUUUAGAGCAACUGUCUGUACUAUUGCAACCCACUCAGGGCCCUGAGGGAGACCUAUGAACAGAGAGAAGGCUCAGAUUUAUUUGAGUAACUCAGCAUUGCCAAAUACUUUGGUUUGCUCCAGCUGCUGGAGAAGUAUUGGGGAGAUCUAACCAGAGAACAUGGUGUUAGAAAAGAUCUGUUUAAAGAUUCAGGAAAAUGCUGCUGCUUUCUCCUCUGAGCACCAGAACUGUGAAGAAAACCUAACUUAUGUUAAGUAUGAGGUAGAAAUCAAUAUCUGAAACAUUCUUCAAAAACAGAAUUGAAGGCUUACAUCCUUUUAAGCUCAUGGCAGGAAGAGCCUCUUCUUUGCUUGAACAAGUUACUGUUUACAGCAAUUUUUUCUUUGCUUGAAUGAGUUACUGUUUACAGCAAUUUUAAUAAAGUAUCUCCUGGCAAAAAGACUAAGUUGUAACAUCUCCAAACCUUUUAUAGAUGAAAGAGCGUCCUUCAAAAUGCACGCUGCUCAGUUAAACCUUGGUAGCAUGUGUUGUGACACGGGUGCCUAGUCUUUGAUAGACUGUAUUAAGCCUUUUCCAUUUUAUCUUGAUAACAUUUAGUUCCUUCCACUUUUGGGAUGUUUCUCUUCUGUACUUUCCCAUUUUUUUUUCUCCUCCUGGAAACAAACAACCCAAAGCAUUAUUCUGUCACUUGGCAGCUCUCAGGAGCUUUACU